CCAGACCGGCUUCCACACUGCGUUAGCACCCCGUCACUCACGGACUUCAUCUCCGGCAAGGCGCAGCGCGGCUCUUCUACCUCACCUGCCCUUCCCAAAAGUACCCACCUCCCAGCGUGAGGGUUUAACGAAACACGUGUUCGGUACAUCUAGACCCGCCGGCACCUGAUGAAGUUCUUCUUCCCAUUCUGAGAUCGCCCCGAUGUUGGGAACUUCGGCGAAUUCUGGACUCUUUGGCAUGGCCUUGAAGUCACUGUGCCACUGAAUACACAACCCAACUGUCACAGGCUGACUUGGCUAGUGAGAUGCAAACACCCUUGUCACGGGAUAGUGAAGCCCCAAAGCAGGGAAAAGCACACUGCUGCCAGCCCCCAGAACCCUAUAAACUGAAGGGGGGAUGGGAUGAGCAACGGAGGUUUGGAAAUCAAAGAAAGGAUGAGAGGCAUAGGAUCCUGGUCUGUCGGUGUUCCACCACUCCCGGUUCUGAAAUCACUGCGUGCUUUAUGUGUAUAAUAAAGAAUUUGCAAAUUCCA